CAGCAGCCGCGGUAAUACGAGGGGGGCUAGCGUUGUUCGGAAUUACUGGGCGUAAAGCGCACGUAGGCGGAUAUUUAAGUCAGGGGUGAAAUCCCGCAGCUCAACUGCGGAACUGCCUUUGAUACUGGGUAUCUUGAGUAUGGAAGAGGUUAGUGGAAUUGCGAGUGUAGAGGUGAAAUUCGUAGAUAUUCGCAGGAACACCAGUGGCGAAGGCGGCUAACUGGUCCAUAACUGACGCUGAGGUGCGAAAGCGUGGGGAGCAAACAGGAUUAGAUACCCCGGUAGUCCCUGUCUCUUAUAC
rnacentral:rRNA from 1 species